rnacentral:miRNA from 1 species
CGUCAACCAUCCAGCUGUUUGG